UACGGGGGGAGCAAGCGUUGUUCGGAUUUACUGGGCGUAAAGGGCGCGUAGGCGGCGUGACAAGUCACUUGUGAAAUCUCCGGGCUUGACCCGGAGCGGCCAAGUGAUACUGUCGUGCUAGAGUGCGGAAGGGGCAACUGGAAUUCUCGGUGUAGCGGUGAAAUGCGUAGAUAUCGAGAGGAACACCUGCGGCGAAGGCGGGUUGCUGGGCCGACACUGACGCUGAGGCGCGAAAGCCAGGGGAGCGAACGGG
rnacentral:rRNA from 1 species